AACGAACGCUGGCGGCAGGCCUAACACAUGCAAGUCGAGCGCCCCGCAAGGGGAGCGGCAGACGGGUGAGUAACGCGUGGGAAUCUACCCAUCUCUACGGAAUAACGCAUGGAAACGUGUGCUAAUACCGUAUACGUCCUUCGGGAGAAAGAUUUAUCGGAGAUGGAUGAGCCCGCGUUGGAUUAGCUGGUUGGUGGGGUAAAGGCCUACCAAGGCGACGAUCCAUAGCUGGUCUGAGAGGAUGAUCAGCCACAUUGGGACUGAGACACGGCCCGAAAUCCUACGGGAGGCAGCAGUGGGGAAUAUUGGACAAUGGGCGCAAGCCUGAUCCAGCCAUGCCGCGUGAGUGAUGAAGGCCCUAGGGUUGUAAAGCUCUUCCGCACGUGACGAUGAUGACGGUAACGUGAGAAGAAGCCCCGGCUAACUUCGUGCCAGCCGCCGCAGUAAGAC
rnacentral:rRNA from 1 species